rnacentral:rRNA from 1 species
CAGGACGAACGCUGGCGGCGUGCCUAAUACAUGCAAGUCGAACGGUCUUUCUAUGGAAGCUUGCUUCCACUGAAAAGAUAGUGGCGAACGGGUGAGUAACACGUGGGGUAACCUGCCCAUAAGAGGGGGGAUAACAUCCGGAAACGGGUGCUAAUACCGCAUAGUUUUCUUGAUCGCAUGAUCGGGAAAGGAAAGACGGCCUUUGUGCUGUCGCUUAUGGAUGGACCCGCGGCGUAUUAGUUAGUUGGUGAGGUAACGGCUCACCAAGACGAUGAUACGUAGCCGACCUGAGAGGGUGAUCGGCCACAUUGGGACUGAGACACGGCCCAAACUCCUACGGGAGGCAGCAGUAGGGAAUCUUCCGCAAUGGACGAAAGUCUGACGGAGCAACGCCGCGUGAGUGAAAGAAGGUUUUCGGAUCGUAAAACUCUGUUGUCAGAGAAGAACAAGUUGGAGAGUAACUGCUCCAGCCUUGACGGUAUCUGACCAGAAAGCCACGGCUAACUACGUGCCAGCCGCCGC